GUCACCUUGUGUGUGUAUGUGUGUGUAGUUGACACUCUGCAGAUUCAGUGUUAUCAGUGUGAGGAGAUUCGGCAAGAUGACUGCUCAUCACCAGAAUUCAUCGUUAACUGCACUGUUAAUGUGCAGGACAUGUGCCAGAAAGAAGUACUUAUCAUGGAGGAUGGUGUACACUACAGGAAGCCA